AAAACUGAGGUGCCUUUGCCAAUCUUCUGUUUCUCUUUGACGAGCCCUGAAUUUUCUGAGGGGAGCCUGCUCCGAAAGGCAUCAUGCCAGGAGUUCGCAAAUAUAAUUUAAAGACAGAGCCUC
ensembl:misc_RNA